rnacentral:rRNA from 1 species
CCUACGGGAGGCAGCAGUGGGGAAUCUUGCGCAAUGGGCGAAAGCCUGACGCAGCGACGCCGCGUGAGGGAUGAAGGUCUUCGGAUCGUAAACCUCUGUCAGUAGGGAAGCACGGUCACUGUGCUAAUCAGCAGUGAAUUGACGGUACCUGCAAAGGAACAACCGGCUAACUCCGUGCCAGCAGCCGCGGUAAUACGGAGGGUGCGAGCGGUAAUCGGAAUUACUGGGCGUAAAGCGCUCGUAGGCGGUAUGUCAAGUCAAGGGUGAAAGCCCCGCGCUCAACGUGGGAACUGCCUUUGAAACUGGCAAACUGGAGUGUGUGAGAGGAUAGUGGAAUUCCAGGUGUAGGAGUGAAAUCCGUAGAUAUCUGGAGGAACAUCAGUGGCGAAGGCGACUAUCUGGCACAUAACUGACGCUGAGGAGCGAAAGCGUGGGUAGCAAACAGGAUUAGAUACCCCUGUAGUC